UACGUAGGGUGCGAGCGUUGUCCGGAAUUAUUGGGCGUAAAGAGCUUGUAGGCGGUUUGUCGCGUCUGCUGUGAAAAUCCGGGGCUCAACCCCGGACUUGCAGUGGGUACGGGCAGACUAGAGUGUGGUAGGGGAGACUGGAAUUCCUGGUGUAGCGGUGAAAUGCGCAGAUAUCAGGAGGAACACCGAUGGCGAAGGCAGGUCUCUGGGCAACUACUGACGCUGAGAAGCGAAAGCAUGGGGAGCAAACAGGAUUAGAUACCCCCGUA
rnacentral:rRNA from 1 species